rnacentral:rRNA from 1 species
AGUUGGUGGAGUGAUUUGUCUGGUUAAUUCCGUUAACGAACGAGACCUCAGCCUGCUAAAUAGUAUGCGCUUUCUCACGAAAGCGUAAGACUUCUUAGAGGGACAUUUCGGUUACACCGGAAGGAAGUUUGAGGCAAUAACAGGU